CAGUAGCCACGGUAAUACAGAGGGUGCAAGCGUUAAUCGGAAUUACUGGGCGUAAAGCGCGCGUAGGUGGUUAGUUAAGUUGGAUGUGAAAUCCCCGGGCUCAACCUGGGAACUGCAUUCAAAACUGACUGACUAGAGUAUGGUAGAGGGUGGUGGAAUUUCCUGUGUAGCGGUGAAAUGCGUAGAUAUAGGAAGGAACACCAGUGGCGAAGGCGACCACCUGGACUGAUACUGACACUGAGGUGCGAAAGCGUGGGGAGCAAACAGGAUUAGAUACCCGUGUAGUCCCUGUCUCUUAUAC
rnacentral:rRNA from 1 species